rfam:Klebsiella sp. RIT-PI-d NODE_2_length_598449_cov_38.8215_ID_3, whole genome shotgun sequence.
GUCAUACUACGGUGCAAUACCCUGCAAAGUAAACGAUGACCCAUGGUGAACUUCAAGGUAAAAUGACUAUCAAAUUGAAAAAUUGCUGCUGACCUGGGGCUUUGCCCCCGGGUCAGUUUUCUUU